CCAUAUUACAUUGAAACACUGGUUCUGUAUGAUCACUGAAGUUAAACAAUGUUGAGCCUGGCCAGUACGUAGAUGGGUGACCACUUGGGAAUACCAAGUGCUGUAAG